rnacentral:lncRNA from 1 species
UGUAUAUGGUUAUCUAUUUGGGAUUAACUGAAAUAUCUGUGGGGAGAAUGGGUUAACUAUAAGAGAGCAUGUUGGUUAUGCAUGACAUAUGCAAUAUGCAAUGUAUGUAGUGUAUGAUUGAUCCUAUUUUUAUUCUUUGUCUUUAUCUUUUUUUUUUCCUUUUUCUCCUGCCUCCACUAACAAGAUUUGGCAUGUACUGGUAAUUUAAAUAUUCCCGCAGGAUCCCACAAAGGUAAGAAAAUCAUGUAUUUGCAAAAGGAAAGUAAUAGAGGAUAUAAAAGUAAGCUGAGAUCUUCUGCAAAAGGCAUAAAGAUGUCUUGCAAAAGGAAAGUAACUUGAUUGGUAAAUGAUUGUAUUUUCCUUCAUAAGAGGUUCAGGAAACUUGCAUAAGGCAA